GUAAGCCUAAUUAGUCUGAGGGGAAUUGUAAUGUGAGCUGUAUCUGAGCUCUAUAAAAAAAGAACUUAUAAACUUUAAGUUCUCUGGUGAGAAAGAGGCUUUAAAGUAAAAGUCUGCAGAGCAGAGGAAAGGAGCAGAGGCAAGACGACUAUAGAAGGGGUAUUCCUUGCUGUGAAGUGGCUACACUCAGGAGCCAAAAGAUGCCAUGGAUCAAAUAUAUCUUCUUCACUGUGCUGAUGUCAGUCCUGCUGAUCACCGUCUAUGGAAAAACAAAGAUCAACAUAAAGUGCUCAGACCAAAAUGGGACUGUUGGGAGAUCAUUAAAUCUAACCUGCAGUGUUUCAAAUCCUUGUGGUUAUAUACACUAUAGUUUUAAGCGUAAUAAUAUAAUCCUUCAAAAUGAAACAACGCCUAUGAAUAGCACAUGCACAUUUUAUUACACGAUUGCAAAUGCAAAAGUAAAUGACAGCGGGAAUUACACAUUUUGGAUACAAAUGGCUAAAGGAUGGAAUGAUGCCAUUUUCACAGUGACCAUAGAUAUACCAGUUAAACAAGCAGGCACCACUUCUUCUUCAAAACAAGAUUCAUCAACUGCAGUCCCAUUUGUAAUUGUUUUGGUUUCUCUUGUGUGCUUUCUUAUUACAGUCACUCUUGCAGUACAUGCAAUAGAUAGAAUGAGAAAAAAAAGAAGUGCUUCCUGUGAGUAUAGGGCUACCUGUGAUUUAGAAAUGAUGACAACUCUUAACACUGAAAUUUGACAUUUUUUUCCAUUUUUAAAUCUCAGAAAAGAAUGUAAGAAAAGAAGGUGGUUUAUACUGUUUUUACUGUAUGUGCAAAACCCUGUCUAAGUGUCAAAAAGUGUUUUCCCCUUGUUUUUUAAUGUCUAUUAAUGUUAUAUAUUAAGCAUUAUAUAAAAUAAUGUAAGAUGUUAAAUAUAUCAUGUUAUACUCAUCGCUGGACGAUAGACAAAUAUAUUUUAAGUUAAGUCAAGUUUAUUUGUAUAGUUCUUUUCACAACAGGCAUUGUCUCAAAGCAGCUUUACACAAAUCAACAGUGAAGGUGAAUGGUGUGAAUUUGUCCCUGAUGAGCAAGCCGUGGCGAUUUUACUCUGUGAAUAGAAUGAAAUGGUCUAUUCAGAUGGUUUCUGAUUGUAAGGUUUUCUGUAAUGUCAGUGUAUUUUAUACAAGAGUUUUCUACGUUGCAUUUGCUUUAUAUUUGUUUUAACUUUGUAUUAUAUAGUGUGCUUUAUAUAUGGAUAAACGUUUUCCGGUUUGUCUGAAUUGUUGCACGUUAACAAAUCUGAAAACACAACGAAAAUUCAGACAAACCUUCUAUUUUCUUAUAUUUAAAGAAGCACUAAUCGAAAUAAAAAAUUGUUUAAAGUAAACGGAGAAUUUUACACUGUAUAUCUUGAAUGACAGGUGUCUCGUCCAAUGAUCGGUAAGAGUUUCAUUUACAAGCUAUACCUACCUUUUUCCAUUUUUUUUCCAUUUUUUUCCAUUGUCAUUGUGUUUUUGGAUUUGUUAAUGUGUUUUUGGAUUUGUUAUUUUGUUUUCGGAUUUGUUAUUUUAUUUUUGGAUCUGUUUAUUUGUUUUCGGAUUUGUUAAUGUGUUUUGCACUUCUCGGCCACCGUACAUUUCUGCACAGUAUGUUUGUAGUAUUGUUCAAAAAAAAAGUUAACCAAAGCUAAAAAUACAAAGAUAAAUGUAAGUAAAUAUAAAAAGUAAAAACAGGAAAAAAAAGAAAAUAUGUGAAUGUCAGUGAAGAGGGUCCAGAGGUGGCAAAAAAAAAGGUUACUACUACCUGUUUUAGUAUUGCUGGUAUUAUGCUGGUAUUAAAAUUGUCUCGUCAAUCAAGUAAAAUAUUGACCCGUGAUUAAUAUCGUAAUUGUCAUGAAUUUACUUAAUUGCACAUUUGUAUCUGUUCUAAAUGUACCUUAAAUUAAUACCUUUCAGGUUUUGAAUACUCUAAUCAGCAUGGAUAUGGACAAAUCUGGAUGCUUUAUGCAAAUGUAUGUUUAUUAUUAGUGAAACCAAACUCAGAGCAUGAAGACCAAAUAUUCUUGUAAAUGUUUUACAUCAGUAAUUAUGGUGUUUUAAAUUCCGUAAAUCAUCAGGAUACCAAACAGAACCUUUGCUAUGUUUCCAACCUGUUAAUGAGGUUAUACCUUUUACUUUAUUUAAAAGUAGAUCGUCACAGAUACACCAGACAUCAGAACCCGAGAGUAAAACAAGGUGUAGUUUGUUGAUCUUGAACAGAACAAACUCAGGAAAAUCAUCAACUAGAGUGCAGGAAAUAAUUAACUUAGCUGUAGUGAGCUUUACGAGAAGCGUAGCGAGUAACACAGGAAACUCAGGAAAUAGUAGUGUAGAUGAUUUAAUGUAGGGGUACUGUAGAUCAGAUGGCGAGUGAUGGGAGAGAGGGAUCUUUAAAAGAAAUGGAUUUAGGGGAAACAGGUAAAGGUAAAGGGGGGGGGUGGCUGGUGGUUCUCUGACAUAGACGUUCUAAGCUUUCUUAUUAUAUAUAUCAUUUAUGGGAUGCAAAUAUUCACUGAGAUUCAGGUUGUUUUAUUUAUGCGCCUCAGAAAGAGCCCCCUGUCUAUUUUCUUUAUUUUACCAAAGCACAAAGUUUUGUUGUUAUAAUGAGUGUAAACAAAUAAAAGUAGACCCUUUACAUAUUCAAA